rnacentral:rRNA from 1 species
AGCUUGCUGGGGGGAUUAGUGGCGAACGGGUGAGUAACACGUGAGUAACCUGCCCUUAACUCUGGGAUAAGCCUGGGAAACUGGGUCUAAUACCGGAUAUGACUGAUCAUCGCAUGGUGGUUGGUGGAAAGCUUUUUGUGGUUUUGGAUGGACUCGCGGCCUAUCAGCUUGUUGGUGAGGUAAUGGCUUACCAAGGCGACGACGGGUAGCCGGCCUGAGAGGGUGACCGGCCACACUGGGACUGAGACACGGCCCAGACUCCUACGGGAGGCAGCAGUGGGGAAUAUUGCACAAUGGGCGCAAGCCUGAUGCAGCGACGCCGCGUGAGGGAUGACGGCCUUCGGGUUGUAAACCUCUUUCAGUAGGGAAGAAGCGAAAGUGACGGUACCUGCAGAAGAAGCGCCGGCUAACUACGUGCCAGCAGCCGCGGUAAUACGUAGGGCGCAAGCGUUAUCCGGAAUUAUUGGGCGUAAAGAGCUCGUAGGCGGUUUGUCGCGUCUGCCGUGAAAGUCCGGGGCUCAACUCCGGAUCUGCGGUGGGUACGGGCAGACUAGAGUGAUGUAGGGGAGACUGGAAUUCCUGGUGUAGCGGUGAAAUGCGCAGAUAUCAGGAGGAACACCGAUGGCGAAGGCAGGUCUCUGGGCAUUAACUGACGCUGAGGAGCGAAAGCAUGGGGAGCGAACAGGAUUAGAUACCCUGGUAGUCCAUGCCGUAAACGUUGGGCACUAGGUGUGGGGGACAUUCCACGUUUUCCGCGCCGUAGCUAACGCAUUAAGUGCCCCGCCUGGGGAGUACGGCCGCAAGGCUAAAACUCAAAGGAAUUGACGGGGGCCCGCACAAGCGGCGGAGCAUGCGGAUUAAUUCGAUGCAACGCGAAGAACCUUACCAAGGCUUGACAUGAACCGGAAAGACCUGGAAACAGGUGCCCCGCUUGCGGUCGGUUUACAGGUGGUGCAUGGUUGUCGUCAGCUCGUGUCGUGAGAUGUUGGGUUAAGUCCCGCAACGAGCGCAACCCUCGUUCUAUGUUGCCAGCACGUGAUGGUGGGGACUCAUAGGAGACUGCCGGGGUCAACUCGGAGGAAGGUGGGGACGACGUCAAAUCAUCAUGCCCCUUAUGUCUUGGGCUUCACGCAUGCUACAAUGGCCGGUACAAAGGGUUGCGAUACUGUGAGGUGGAGCUAAUCCCAAAAAGCCGGUCUCAGUUCGGAUUGGGGUCUGCAACUCGACCCCAUGAAGUCGGAGUCGCUAGUAAUCGCAGAUCAGCAACGCUGCGGUGAAUACGUUCCCGGGCCUUGUACACACCGCCCGUCAAGUCACGAAAGUUGGUAACACCCGAAGCCGCGU